UUUUAUUUGUUUUCUGGCUGCAAUGCCCUCGAUCACUGCAUUGAUUCGUCGCAAAUCAUGCAGUAAUCUCCAUUUCCCGCUCUUCUUCUUGAUGACAAACACUGGUGAAUUCCAUGGGCUCUUUGUCAGAACAAUAUGUAUUCGUACUGGAGCAAGCAAUUUGUGAAUAGCAUAUACCAACAGAAAUGCGCCUGUACCAGCAGCCCUUUUAGACUGCAGCGAUUUAUGGUUCAGUGGAGGACUUGUUAGUGUUAGGUCAGAGGUUGGAGUAGGUGAUCUUGGACGUCUCUUCCAACCUAGAUGAUUCUGUGAUUCUGUGAUUCACUGAAACCAAGUUUGAAGAGAACUGCAGUCAUAUCCACACCACUUGACACAGCCAGGAUGGAUGAUAGAAAGGGAAAGAUGAGCUGCUUUGGAUCCUGCAGAAUUCUCUGUUUGAACUCUAACAGAUUAUAUUUUCAUUGUCAACGGGUUCUGCGGAGAGACUGUGCAGUCCUCAUCCUCAAAGAUUUUCAGGACAAGAUCAAAUAAAGCUCUCAGCAACUUGGUCUAACUCUACUUUGAACAAGAAUUUGAGCAAGAUUGCUACCUGAGAUCCCUUCCAACCUGAAUUCUCCUACAAACCUAUGAAUUCAGUCACUCUUAAAAGUUUAUACAGGCUCUUUCUGUAUUCAGUAUUACAGAAGUUAGGUCACAUCAGUAAAAGAAAAUGUCAGUGACAAACAGGAUGAAAUGCUCUCUGGAGUCACUAUAGUGGGAACGAAGAAGAUUAGCCUGGAUUAGCUAAUUAACUUUCUGACUGUUAAAAAUGAUGAUAUGGCAAAGCAUUUCACCUUGAACACCCAAACUACUGGUUAGUUGAGGAUUGCAUGGUUAUUCCAAGAUGUUUUUUUUUGUCUGUGAAUCACUCAUCUUUGAUCUUAACUGAUGACUUAGAAUGCCACCAAAAUACAGUUAAAUAACUGCAUAGAAUAAAAAAGUAUUGCAUGCAUUGACUGAUGAAAUAAUGGGCUGUAUCCUAUAAUUUUAGUAAAAGAUUGGCUUGCAAACCACAAAAUGGAUACAAUUCAUCUGACAAUAGAUCUUGAUAAGCAAAAAAAAAAAGGUUAAAAAAAGUCA